ACUCUGCCAUACAACUCAGACCAAGAAGGUGCAAAGCUUAUCUAAACGCUCUGCCCAGAGUGCUUUACUGGAAGAAGAUAUGGCUGCCAACCAGAAGCCUGGAUUCUAGAACAUUCUGUACUCCAGUCUCAUCUAGGGGAUCAUUCAAGUCUCUGAAGGCCUGCUCCCUCCUCCAGCCCAGAGGGAGUAGAAGUAGGCAGAAGUGAUCCUGGAGCUUCAGUCCCUGCCAAGACAAGAAUCGGCCAGGUAUUCUGUGGAUGGUGUUUGAAUGCCUGGUGGCUAUGUGAAGCAAGGAGUAAAGAUAAGCUGGUUCCUGACCUUUAACCAAUACCAUCAGUCAGAGCGCCUCAAGCACCGCAGGGAGUCAAGGCAGCAGGAGCUCCACAUAGCUGGUCCCAGAGCAUCCUCAACCAGGAAGCAGAGAGCCAGGAACUUGUUUCUGUUCGGCUUGCCUGCUUCCUCCAGGAUCCCAGCCAAGCAACGAGAACGAAGAACUGCUGGCCCUGCUAAGCUGCUGAAGAGCCUACUUUGCAACUCAAUCCAGCUGAAACAAGCCACAGAACCCAGUGGAAACAAAGGGAUGGGUCCUUGGGUUUUCCCAUAUACAUUCAGUGCCGUACAUUAAAAUUUGAGCCUCCAUCAGA
rnacentral:lncRNA from 1 species